ACUGCAGAUGCAUGAGGAGAUGGAGGCGUUUGAGUCGUCCGAGGACUCCCCUGCAGUACCUGGAGAAACUGUGAUGAAGAAGGGGAUUAGAACCGGUACCCCCUGGAGGAUGAACAAGAGGUUCAAGGUUCUCUCUAAUGUGAGGAAAAAGGCAACCAUGGUUUCCAGCUGCUCAAUUUUGGAGGCUGCUCAGAGGCGGCGAAACAACAGCGAGACAAAAUGUUGCCCACAGGGCCAUUGGGUGUGACUCCCCCUGUGCCACUUUUAAAGCACCGUACCAUGCAACAGGAGAAAAUACCCUUAGUCAACGAGAAUGAAGUGUCUGAAAUGAGCAAGCCUCCAUCUCCAGAAAGACCCUGGCUGCAGCAUCUGGCCUGUCCACAUGUAUGGCCUCCACCCAGGUUGCCCAGUCAGCCCCAUUCUCUCCACCUCCAUCUGAUCAAUAUACCAGACCGCCAACAGUAGCCACCCCACCUACAUCAGCCGUGCCCAGUAAG